GGAGUUAGCCGGUGCUUCUUCUGUGAGUGAUGUCCUUCCUGCCGGCUAUUAACCCGCAGGCCUUCUUCCUCACUGAAAGUGCUUUACAACCCGAAGGCCUUCUUCACACACGCGGCAUGGCUGGAUCAGGGUUGCCCCCAUUGUCCAAUAUUCCCCACUGCUGCCUCCCGUAGGAGUCUGGGCCGUGUCUCAGUCCCAGUGUGGCUGAUCAUCCUCUCAGACCAGCUACGGAUCGUCGCCUUGGUGAGCCGUUACCUCACCAACCAGCUAAUCCGACAUAGGCUCAUCCGAUAGCGCGAGGCCCGAAGGUCCCCCGCUUUCCCCCGUAGGGCGUAUGCGGUAUUAGCCUGGGUUUCCCCAGGUUAUCCCCCACUACCGGGCAGAUUCCUAUGCAUUACUCACCCGUCCGCCGCUCGCCACCAGGGAGCAAGCUCCCCGUGCUGCCGCUCGACUUGCAUGUGUUAGGCCUGCCGCCAGCGUUCAAUCUGAGCCAGGAAUCAAACCUCUACGA
rnacentral:rRNA from 1 species